AGUGAACGCUGGCGGUAGGCCUAACACAUGCAAGUCGAACGGCGGCACAGUAAGAGCUUGCUCUUACGGGUGGCGAGUGGCGGACGGGUGAGGAAUACAUCGGAAUCUACUUUUUCGUGGGGGAUAACGUAGGGAAACUUACGCUAAUACCGCAUACGACCUACGGGUGAAAGCAGGGGAUCUUCGGACCUUGCGCGAUUGAAUGAGCCGAUGUCGGAUUAGCUAGUUGGCGGGGUAAAGGCCCACCAAGGCGACGAUCCGUAGCUGGUCUGAGAGGAUGAUCAGCCACACUGGAACUGAGACACGGUCCAGACUCCUACGGGAGGCAGCAGUGGGGAAUAUUGGACAAUGGGCGCAAGCCUGAUCCAGCCAUACCGCGUGGGUGAAGAAGGCCUUCGGGUUGUAAAGCCCUUUUGUUGGGAAAGAAAAGCAGCGGGUUAAUACCCCGCUGUUCUGACGGUACCCAAAGAAUAAGCACCGGCUAACUUCGUG
rnacentral:rRNA from 1 species